AUUGAACGCUGGCGGCAUGCCUUACACAUGCAAGUCGAACGGCAGCACGGGGGCAACCCUGGUGGCGAGUGGCGAACGGGUGAGUAAAGCAUCGGAACGUGCCCUGGAGUGGGGGAUAACGUAGCGAAAGUUACGCUAAUACCGCAUAUUCUGUGAGCAGGAAAGCAGGGGAUCGCAAGACCUUGCGCUCUGGGAGCGGCCGAUGUCGGAUUAGCUAGUUGGUGGGGUAAAGGCCUACCAAGGCGACGAUCCGUAGCGGGUCUGAAAGGAUGAUCCGCCACACUGGGACUGAGACACGGCCCAGACUCCUACGGGAGGCAGCAGUGGGGAAUUUUGGACAAUGGGCGGAAGCCUGAUCCAGCCAUGCCGCGUGAGUGAAGAAGGCCUUCGGUUGGUUAAAGUACGUCUUUCGGUCGGGGAAGGAAAGUUAGCACGGGUUAAGUACCUACGUGUAGAUGACGGUACCGAACGUAAGAAG
rnacentral:rRNA from 1 species